CCUACGGGAGGCAGCAGUGGGGAAUAUUGCACAAUGGGCGCAAGCCUGAUGCAGCAACGCCGCGUGAGGGACGACGGCCUUCGGGUUGUAAACCUCUUUUAGUAGGGAAGAAGCGAAAGUGACGGUACCUGCAGAAAAAGCACCGGCUAACUACGUGCCAGCAGCCGCGGUAAUACGUAGGGUGCAAGCGUUAUCCGGAAUUAUUGGGCGUAAAGAGCUCGUAGGCGGUUUGUCGCGUCUGCUGUGAAAACUGGAGGCUCAACCUCCAGCCUGCAGUGGGUACGGGCAGACUAGAGUGCGGUAGGGGAGAUUGGAAUUCCUGGUGUAGCGGUGGAAUGCGCAGAUAUCAGGAGGAACACCGAUGGCGAAGGCAGAUCUCUGGGCCGUAACUGACGCUGAGGAGCGAAAGCAUGGGGAGCGAACAGGAUUAGAUACCCUGGUAGUCCAUGCCGUAAACGUUGGGAACUAGAUGUAGGGACCAUUCCACGGUUUCUGUGUCGCNGACUACGACAUAAGUUACCCGUCCGUCGGGAGGUACGGCCGGCGACGGACGUAAACGUAAACGUAAAGUAGUUAGUUAGUAGAGAGUAGCGAGCGACGACGACGAGAGGAG
rnacentral:rRNA from 1 species